rnacentral:rRNA from 1 species
AUGGGGAAUGGGGAGAUUCUUAGUCCGCAAAAGCAAAAUGAUCGUGCUGUUUGGAAGCCUCCACAGCGGGAGUAUAUUAAGAUAAAUGUUGAUGCUAGUCUUGUGGAGAGCUUGAGAUCUGCUAGCGUUGGGGUUGUCGCUAGGAAUCAUCUGGGAGAAGUCCUAGUGUCUUCUUGGGAUUUUAUUCGAAUGUGCUCCGGAGCGGAGGAGGCGGAACUUCGUGCGUGCCUCGCCGAGCUGUACAUUGGUAUUUCUCUUCACAAAUCAAUUAUCUUGGAAACUGACUGCUCCUUUGCUGCAUCUUUCCUAGCGAAAGAAACUGUUGACAGGUCUCCUUAUGUGGAUCUAAAAAUAAAAGCGAUCAGCGCCUCCAAGUUUAUUGUUGAUCUCAAGAUUGUUAAGAUUGAUAGGCAGGCUAAUAAGGCGGCGCAUGAGAUAGCAAAAUUUAGUUUUGAUACCAUGUCUGAUGGUAUUCUGUGUAAUUUUGUUCCGCCCUACGUGGUUAAUUAUGUAAUGAACGAUUGCAAGACUAUUGUUAUUUGA